UCUCGUCUCUCCUCCCUCCCCUCUCCUCUCCUCUCCUCUGUCCUGUCUCUUCUCUCCUCCACUGAUAAACAACCAACCACAUCCUCCUCUUCUCCUUUUCCUGUGGAGGUACCUCCUAACAGACACUCAUCUUCCUCACCCAGUCUGUCCAUCAGAGGUACCUCCUCUAACACAAACACUCAUCUUCCUCACCCAGUCUGUCCAUCAGAGGUACCUCCUCUAACAGACACUCAUCUUCCUCACCCAGUCUGUCCAUCAGAGGUACCUCCUCUAACAGACACUCAUCUUCCUCACCCAGUCUGUUCAUCAGAGGUACCUCCUCUAACAGACACACUCAUCUUCCUCACCCAGUCUGUCCAUCAGAGGUACCUCCUCUAACAGACACUCAUCUUCCUCACCCAGUCUGUCCAUCAGAGGUACCUCCUCUAACAGACACACUCAUCUUCCUCACCCAGUCUGUCCAUCAGAGGUACCUCCUCUAACAGACACUCAUCUUCCUCACCCAGUCUGUUCAUCAGAGGUACCUCCUCUAACAGACACUCAUCUUCCUCACCCAGUCUGUUCAUCAGAGGUACCUCCUCUAACAGACACACUCAUCUUCCUCACCCAGUCUGUCCAUCAGAGGUACCUCCUCUAACACAAACAAGUGCAUUCAAUUCAUACCCUCUUUCUGAUUUAUAUCCAUGUCGUACUGUUAGUAUUGACAGAUACAUGUCAUACUGUACUGUUAGUAUUGAAGGAGCCGUACUAUAAACGGUUCUAGCGUCUCUUGGCCAGACUUAACAACUUAUGUAUUUUCUGAACACCAUUUUGCAGCUACUGUAAUCCUCAUAAUGGACCUGCCUUCACUUUGAAUUCAGGAAGUGAAAUGAAAACUUGUUUUGUUAUAAGUUGUUUUUUUAAAGGCCCAGUGCAUCAGAAAUAUACAUUUAUAUAUAUUUCCACACUGUGAGGUUGGAAUAACACUGUGAAAUUGUGAACAUUAUCAAAAUGUCCUUUUAGUGUAAGAGUUGUUUGAAAAGACUGACAUUUCAGCCUGUUUUGGCAGGAUGGAGUUAUGGCCUUCCACGGUGACAUCACUAUGGGGUGAAUUAGUUAAUAGACCAAUAAGAAAGAGAGUUCUAAACCCCUCUGCCAAUAACAGCACAUUAUCAGUUUUCCCCUCCCCACUCAGACCACUCCCCAGACAGACCUACCUAAAUUGUUGCUUGAGAAAUUGCCUGUUGUUAAGAAUCUACUUUUUGUUUAUUUUUGACCAUUUUAAUUAAAAUCACAGUAAGGUACUUAAUUGUUACCCAGAAAUGAUUUGAUAUUGACAUAAAACGCCUGCAUUGGAUUUUUUUAAAUUUUAAAUAUUGCUUUAUUCCUAAAUGAACUUUUGUAUGCCAACAGUGUUUCUCAUGCAGUAUAGAAUCAAGCUGCAUUCUGGGAUGUAAAGCUACUGUUAUUCUCCAGUGAUGUUAUAGUCCCCAAGAUAUCUUCUCAUGCAGUAUAGAAUCAAGCUGCAUUCUGGGAUGUAAAGCUACUGUUAUUCUCCAGUGAUGUUAUAAUCCCCAAGAUAUCUACUAUCUCCAUCAUGCCAUCGUUGCUGUGUUGUUCAAAGGCUCACUGAUCUGUGUCUGAUGACAUGGUUAGAGUUGCGUCCUGACUCUCCACACUUCUCCUAGAGUGUGCUCUUGCACACUUCCUGUCAUCGAAACAGACAAAGAGAACCAGUCAGAGCCCAGAACCUCAGGGAAAUGGACAUUGUUAGAGAAUUAAGGGAAGAGGAUUACUGUCUGGAAUCAUGUGUUUUAUUAAAAGGUUUUGAAUGGUUGAAGGAUAAAUUAUAAUGUGUGAUAUUAUAAUAACCAAUAAAGUUGUGUGAAAUAAAGUGAA